rnacentral:rRNA from 1 species
UACGUAGGGGGCAAGCGUUGUCCGGAUUCAUUGGGCGUAAAGAGCGUGUAGGCGGCCAGGUAGGUCGGUUGUGAAAACUGGAGGCUCAACCUUCAGACGUCGACCGAAACCAUCUGGCUAGAGUCCGGGAGAGGAGAGUGGAAUUCCGUGGUGUAGCGGUGAAAUGCGCAGAUAUCAGGAAGAACACCCGUGGCGAAAGCGGCUCUCUGGAACGGUACUGACGCUGAGACGCGAAAGCGUGGGG